UUGUCUUUGGCAGAAUUAGUCUUC
rnacentral:siRNA from 1 species